rnacentral:rRNA from 1 species
GACGAACGCUGGCGGCGUGCUUAACACAUGCAAGUCUACGAGAAAAAGGUAGCAAUAUCUUGAUUAAAGUGGCGCACGGGUGAGUAACACGUGAGCAAUCUACCCUUGGAUUUGGAAUAACCCGUCGAAAGACGUGCUAAUACCGAACGACACGCGGGAAUCGCAUGGUUCCUUCGUUAAAGUUGCAGCAAUGUAACGUCCAGGGAUGAGCUUGCGUCUGAUUAGCUAGUUGGUAGGGUAAUGGCCUACCAAGGCGACGAUCAGUAGCUGGUCUGAGAGGAUGAUCAGCCAUACUGGAACUGAGACACGGUCCAGACUCCUACGGGAGGCAGCAGUGAGGAAUAUUGGGCAAUGGGGGAAACCCUGACCCAGCGACGCCGCGUGAGGGAAGAAGGUUUUCGGAUUGUAAACCUCUGUUCUUGGUGAAGAGGGGAAGACGGUAGCCAAGGAGGAAGCCCCGGCUAACUACGUG